CUACAACACAACAUGAUACUGGACAGAGAGCUAAAAUGUAGUUUACUCUGAGCACACCAGACAACCAGAGGACCCAGUUUAACAGUGCUCUCUGGCACCAUGAAACCUUAAGGAGCAUCCAGCAGAAAAGUCAACUUUAAACCAUUCUUCAAAAAAUUAUCUGUAAGCCUUAUUUUAAGGAGACAAAAUAUACACAUAACGAGCAACAUAGUUGUGUUUAAAAUUUAAUGUUGUAACAUACUCCUUCUAAAGGAAGAUGUACAAUACAAUUUUCAUUGCUUAAGAGUCAAUGUGUUGGAAACAGUUGGUUGUUGGGAUGUGGAGUGGAAUUGUCGCAGAGGUAGAAGAGUGAAAGGUAAAACUUGUUCCACGUUCUUCUCAGGUGUGGAAUAUGACGAUGAUGAUGAUGGUCCCAGGUUAUCUCUGGAGACAGGAAGCUGGAUUCACCAGGUAUUAGACUGUUAAAAUGUCCACUUUUAUUCUUUCUUCUUGUAGUCCUCCAGGUGGCACAGGAUCCAUCCAGAUG